GUGUGAUUCCAUCUCUGUGCAGAUGUCUCUGCCUGGCAGAGAUAUUCCUCUUCAUCCUUUCUGCUGCUCCUCCAGUCUGAUCCUGGCAGCCUCAGGCACUGAAUGUGCCUUCCUGCUCUGCUCCCUGCACCGCAGGGCUCCAAGCCUGCACCCCACCUCAUUCCUACCGCCAGGCAGGGAGGUAUGAGCAAAGCACUCAGCUCCUCAGCCUCUUGGUGGGCAGGGCUACAUGAAACCUGGAGUCAGAGAGCCCCAUAAGGCUGGGAGAGAGGCCAGAAAAGUGAAUUCUGGUGACAUCUUUCUCCAGCUGAGGGGCUGGGGUGAGAGCAUCAUCCUCUCACCUGCCACAGCCAUCAUGGCCCUGCACCAUUUCCUUGCUGUUCCUCACACGUCCUUGUUCCUAACUGAGCGUAAGGGUGGGUUAAUUCAGGAAGCUGCAGUGCUGGUGUAAGAAAGGUGAGAGAAUGAACAUCUAAGUGCCCUCAGACCGAGCUACGUGCCCAAGAAUCUGAGGUAUUGUCGUGUUUUGUCUUUAAGGCAAAAAGAUCUUCAUAUGAAUAUUGGACUAUACAGAGGUAAAUGUAUUCAAAUGCAUUUAACAUAAGAUACUGAGAUAUUAGCAUUGCUAUUAGACACAGAAUAUUAGAGCUUUAUUUCCAUUACCAAGCAAGACAUUGAAUUGAAAAGGUAUUUCUUCCUUCAGAAGCCAUGAAGAGAAUCCAAAAGCUCUCAUAUGAUGAGACAACCAGGAAACUCCUUCUUCUCACCUGUUAUUCCUGCACUGACUUUCCAGCAUAAUUCAGAGCUGAACUCUCCAAACUGAGAUGUAGUAAUUCAAUUCGUUACCAGAUUAUACCUACAAAAUGUGGGCAGUUUCUGUACUAAGCAACAUAUAGUACUGCUUCAAAACAGAAAAAAAUGAAAGAUCCCCAAAGCAUCGUGAAGCCACAACAGAGAUACAACAUGGUCUGAUUUUCAAGCCUUUUUUCUGAAUUCUAAUCAUUCCAUGUUAAGGACACUUCUUUCCAGAUAUGUUACAGAUCCAAAAGUAUGGUUUUGAUCUGAAAAUGCGUUUAUUUGUAUUUCAUUAUACAAUCAUAGAAUCCUUAGAAUUGGAAGGGACCUCUGAAGGCCAUCGAGUCCAACUCCCCUACAGUGAACAGGGACACCAAAGCUAGAUCAGGUUGCUCAGAGCCUGAUCCAGACUUGCCUUGAAAGUCUCCUGGGACAGGGCAUCCACCACAUCUCUGGGCAACCUGUUGUAGUGCCUCACCACCUUCACUGCAAAAGAUUUUUUCCUUAUAUCUAAAGAAUUAUCUAUUUAUUUUAUUUAUAUUUAUCUGUGAAAAUGUGUUUGCUGGUACAAAAAUAUUGUCAGUGAAUAUCAACACCCUAUUUCAGUGAAACACAUUAUUGCUGAGCUGUUUGUUACAGAUGCAGGAAAAACUGAACACCUUUGGUUGUGCUGCUGAUCAGAUAGAAACUGUAAUGAACCGUGGGAUGUGUUAACAAGGAAAGCAAAGCUUGUCUUUGACAUCUGAAUAGGAGGUGCUAGCAGUAUUUAUUUAAAUGCACAAUUUAAAGAAAAUGGCUGACUUGAUAAAAGAGCUUGGAAUUCUGAACAUACCACUACUUGCCCAUCUCUGGAGGUGUUGAAGGCCAGAUUGGAUGGAGCCCUGGGCAGUCUGAUCUAGUGCCUGAUUUGGGGCCUGGCAGCCCUUGCCAUGGCAGGGGACUGGAACUAGAUGAUCAUUGAGGUCUCUUUCAACCCAAGCCAUUCUACGAUUCUAAUUCUAUGAUUCUAAUUCACUUGUGGUGACUUCUCCAUGUCUUUAUACUUUGACUGUGCCUCCACCUUGUCCUGCAGUCAGUAGUCUACCUUCCAAGCAUCCCUCUGGCAUGUGGAAAUCAGCUUAACUUGUUUAUACUUCUCUCUGUAUCAAGAUAAUGCAUUCCUACUCAUUGCCUUCUCUACCUUCCAGGCCUUUCGGUUUUGAUCCCUAGGCACUGACAGGUGGAUGAGUGUGUGCAUGUUCUUUCAAACUCAAUGACUGCACAACUCAUUGCAGAGCCUGCUCAGAUGAGUGUAAGCUGUGGGAGCUAACUUUGUGCUUGCCUCAAAGGUGCAAUGCAGCCAAGAGCUUGGCUGUCCCACACUGAAGUGCCCCAAGCUUGGAUGAACUAGGUGGAUAGAAAUGGUGUGUGGAAGCCCUGCUAGGGAAGCAGAUUUCAUUAACCAAAGAAGGCUACUGCUUUGCAGGAACUAACACUACAGCCAGCGGUCCUAAAGGUUUAGGAUCAAUUGUAGGUGGAUGAAUUAGAAUUACUGCAAAGAGACAAAACAAAGAAUGCAGCAUAUCUGUCCACAGCAUCUUAGGAGGAAUCAAAGUGCCAAUAGAAAAAAAAUCUAUUUUUUGCUUCUGUUGUGAACAGAACAGAAAUUCAGAAAAGAAAUAAUUGAUGAUAUGCUUGGAGUAGGAGGAAAUGAGACAGUGGAAGCAAAGCUCUGUGGAAAAAUACUGAUGUUUUAAUUGCUAAAUUCAGCACAGAUAUAUCUUAGGAAGCUAAUCCUAUUGGAUGUUUGCUGUAUUUGGAUAUUGGUUAGUUAUCAGAGGUGUGUGUGUGUGUGUGUGUGUGUGUAACGUGGUCUUUUCUGCAGCCUUCUUUAGCCAGUUGUACUGUCAGGAUGUAUAAUUCAUAAUCUUCUAAGAAUGAUGAUGCGCUCAUUGUAAGGUGGCACAUUCCUUGCAGAACAUACAAAUUAAUAACAUUGCCAACCGAUAGUCGGCUUAUUAGUCUGUCUACUCAGCUUUUAAAAUAUGUUUCAUAGUUCUGUGAAAUAUUUCUGGUGUUGAGGCAAUAUCAGACUACAACUAACAAACAGCAUAUGCAGUAAUGCGUAUCAGUUGCAACAAACAGAACCCACGAAAAGCGUUUAUCUUCAGUAAGUAACAAGCAUAUGACUCCUCUGUAUUGAAAGUCUUGAUCUAAUACAGGUAGCAAAAUCAAAAACCCCAAUAAGCAGCAAAGUAUUUAAGGGUUGACCAGGAAUAGCAGAAGCUGUCGACUCCAAUUAAAAAGACACUUGAUGAAAUGCAAUAAAUCAUUCUUUCAAAGUUAAGAAGCUGGAAAAUGAGUGGUACGCAGUGCUGUGCUACCAACCGUGCAGAUCCUAGGUGCUUGUAUCUGCAGUGGUGAGUCGAUGACAAGUUUUCAAGUGUCCGUGUGGAUGUUUGAUGAGGUCACAGGCAGUGUGUGAGAAGGAAAAAGCACACAUCUGUGAAGAGUGAAAAGUGCACAUUUCAUUUCCUUAGUUCUGAACUCCAUAUGCUCUUGUAAGAUGGGACACGGGCUUAUUCACGCUUGCGAUUCAGAGAUGUCCCUGGUAAGAGGGCUUCAUCCAUGGGACCAGGAGUGGGCCCUACGAGGGAAGAGCAGUGGUGGUCCUUGGAGCUUUACAAACAAAAUGGUUCAAAAUGGACCAACAAGGCUAGAAGCUGGGCUGGGCAAUGGGUUGUAGGGGAACCAGUGUUGGAUGGAGGCGCUUAAAUUCUGCCUAAGCCCUUUUUCUGGUACUGAAGUCCCUUAUAGGAGCUCCUCAUGCAGCUAUUUCCAUUCCCCAUUGAAUUCUGGCAAUCAGUAAUAUUUUAACAGUAAAGAGCUAAGGCCUUUAUUAGCAGGAUGUUCUGCAAGUAGGGAACAAGCAGUCACAAGUGCAAUGUGACUCUAGGGACCAGGAACAAAGCUUCAGAAAAAGUCUUCAGGGCUUUGAAUCCCCCAAGGAGAGAGAGCAGUUGAGAGAAGAGACUGAAAAAAAUAAUAA